UUGAGAGUUUGAUCCUGGCUCAGAACGAACGCUGGCGGCAGGCCUAACACAUGCAAGUCGAAGGAGAAGCUGGACUUCGGUCUGGUGGACACUGGCGCACGGGUGAGUAACGCGUGGGAACCUACCUCAAGGUACGGAACAACCGCUGGAAACGGCGGCUAAUACCGUAUGUGCCCUUCGGGGGAAAGAUUUAUCGCCUUGAGAUGGGCCCGCGUCCGAUUAGCUUGUUGGUGAGGUAAUGGCUCACCAAGGCUUCGAUCGGUAGCUGGUCUGAGAGGAUGAUCAGCCACACUGGGACUGAGACACGG
rnacentral:rRNA from 1 species